CAUUACCGAGUUAUUCAACUCAUCAACCCUGUGAACAUACCUAAACGUUGCUUCGGCGGGAAUAGACGGCCCCGUGAAACGGGCCGCCCCCGCCAGAGGACCCUUAACUCUGUUUCUAUAAUGUUUCUUCUGAGUAAAACAAGCAAAUAAAUUAAAACUUUCAACAACGGAUCUCUUGGCUCUGGCAUCGAUGAAGAACGCAGCGAAAUGCGAUAAGUAAUGUGAAUUGCAGAAUUCAGUGAAUCAUCGAAUCUUUGAACGCACAUUGCGCCCGCCAGUAUUCUGGCGGGCAUGCCUGUUCGAGCGUCAUUACAACCCUCAGGCCCCCGGGCCUGGCGUUGGGGAUCGGCGGAGCCUCUCUGUGGGCACACGCCGUCCCCCAAAUACAGUGGCGGUCCCGCCGCAGCUUCCAUCGCGUAGUAGCUAACACCUCGCGACUGGAGAGCGGCGCGGCCACGCCGUAAAACACCCAACUCUUCUGAAGU
rnacentral:rRNA from 1 species